GAACUGCUGAUUAGUCCCACAAUAGGACGGAACGGCCGUCCAGUGC
rnacentral:hammerhead_ribozyme from 1 species